rnacentral:rRNA from 1 species
CGGUAAAACCAGCACCUCAAGUGGUCAGGAGGAUUAUUGGGCCUAAAGCAUCCGUAGCCGGCUCUGUAAGUUUUCGGUUAAAUCCAUGUGCUCAACGCAUGGGCUGCCGAAAAUACUGCAUAGCUAGGGAGUGGGAGAGGUAGACGGUACUCGGUAGGAAGGGGUAAAAUCCUUUGAUCUAUCGAUGACCACCUGUGGCGAAGGCGGUCUACCAGAACACGUUCGACGGUGAGGGAUGAAAGCUGGGGGAGCAAACCGGAUUAGAUACCCGGGUAGUCCCAGCUGUAAACGAUGCAGACUCGAUGAUGCAUUGGCAUAUAGCCAGUGCAGUGUCGCAGGGAAGCCGUUAAGUCUGCCGCCUGGGAAGUACGUACGCAAGUAUGAAACUUAAAGGAAUUGGCGGGGGAGCACCACAAGGGGUGAAGCCUGCGGUUCAAUUGGAGUCAACGCCAGAAAUCUUACCCGGAGAGACAGCAGAAUGAAGGUCAAGCUGAAGACUUUACCAGACAAGCUGAGAGGUGGUGCAUGGCCGUCGCCAGCUCGUGCCGUGAGAUGUCCUGUUAAGUCAGGUAACGAGCGAGAUCCUCGCCACUAGUUGCUAUCAUUAUUCUCAGGAAUAGUGGGGCGAAUUAGUGGGACUGCCGUUGUUAAAACGGAGGAAGGAGGGGGCUACGGCAGGUCAGUAUGCCCCGAAACUCUGGGGCCACACGCGGGCUGCAAUGGUAGCGACAAUGAGCUCCAAACUCGAAAGAGAGUGGCAAUCUCUAAACGCUACCACAGUUAUGACUGAGGGCUGUAACUCGCCCUCACGAAUAUGGAAUCCCUAGUAACCGCGUGUCAUUACCGCGCGGUGAAUACGUCCCUGCUCC